ensembl:snRNA
AGAAAGGCCUUCUGUCAUAAGUGGCACACCUAAGGGGAGUUUGCUUGCUCUGGGUGCAGAAUCACCAUCAAAAGAUUUGGGAAGUAUCAUUUGUUGGUAGCAAGGCAGCAAGUAAUUGUUGGUCCCGAUGCCCAA